rfam:Oryza glumipatula chromosome 1, whole genome shotgun sequence.
UUUAAAUGCACUUUUGAGUUUAUGUGUUCAACGUUUGAUCACCCGUUUAAUUUAAAAUGUUUUUAGAUUAAUAUUUUUAUUGUUAUUAUAUGAUAGAAUAUGAAUGGCACUUUAUGUGUGUCUAAAUUUUUUUAAAAAAAAAUUAAAUAAGACGGACGGUCAAAUGUUGGACACAGAAAUACAUGACUGCACUAAAA